ensembl:lncRNA
GUAAAAAGCAUUUAACUUCCCUUGACUUCUUGAUGUCUGUCAUAUUCACAAUNUGAUUACUAUAAACAAAUUAUCUACACAUCAUUUCUAUAGAAAUGAUUCUGUCCCAAGCUUUUUGAUCUAUAUAAGUGGUUGAUCACUGUAACCGUGAUCACUAUAAGCAGUUUCCACUGUAGUAGGAUCAUGCUCAGUGUCAGUGUCUGAUAUUCUACCACUUUGCUUUAAUCACAGAUCAAGUACAGCACCAGGCGGCUCGAUGGGUUUGGGCUCACAGACGGCGAAGGAAUGGAAAGGCUGUGGUCUUUCCUCCGAAGAUUUGCCAGAGUCACAAAGGAGAUGACUCCAUCUCACCGCGUUGACCUGUUGACUGAUGCCCGUUUGUAUUAUGGACAGAGGAAAUCAACUGACCUAGAGAUGCAGCUCCUGCAAAGACUAGACAAAGCAGAGAAAAUAUUGAUUCUCGCUCAAGAAGACAUCUCAUCUGUCAUCAGAGAGGCACCAGUGUUGGUUUCUGAGGGAGACAUGGAGAAAUGGAAGAAAAGGGAGAUGGAGCUAGCCCAACAGAAACAGAAACCAAUAAGUAAGCAACUGAAGUGAAUGUGUGAAUGUCUUGAAUACAUAUGGAAAAGGGACUACAUCAUCAGGCUGAUUCAGUUCUACAAAUUCAAGUAAGAGUUCAAUGUGUUUAUGUAAGACUGUAUGUUAAUUACAGCCAUCUUUAAGUGCCCUGCUGAUGUGCUUAUGAAAGCCUAGGUGUGAUUACAGUAACAGCAUAGUUUUGAAGGAAACUGUCACAAUGGUUACAAAUUAAGAGUUGCUAUAAUACUGCAGUAAUUUAAUAUGGUGUGAUUAGUAAUCAAUUACCACCAAGGCCUUCCUUAUAACAUAUACAAUGUUUGGUCAGGUGUACCACAGUAAUGGUUUCCGCUUUGUAGCUACUGAAUUUUUGUGCUGUUUUCUUUUCUUUUUUGUAUUGUAUAGAUCUGGGACUCGUGAGUCGUACAUGGAGUGUGAAACAGAGUAAGUAGCAAUCUGUCUGUUACUGUUCUCUGAUCAAGUGUGUAAAUAACAUUUAAUAAGAUAACUAACUAUUGUAGAUUCGAGGACUCUCUGCUGAACAUGAAGAAAAAACAAAGGAUUGGGAGAAGAUGGCAAGAAUCUGAUUCAGACUUCCAGUCUACCCUUAAAGAUGUUGACUGUGAACUCAGAGGCCAGCUGAUCUGCAAGGCUAGAACUGAAUCAAGGGAGAGAGCAGUCCUCCUCCACCUAAAAAGAAAAUACAUUAAGAUCCAACUUUGAAAAGGACCAUAAUACAAACUAAUAAAUUAAUUUCUCUGAAUGCA